rnacentral:rRNA from 1 species
UGAGUUGCGAACGGGUGAGUAACGCGUAGGUAACCUGCCUGGUAGCGGGGGAUAACUAUUGGAAACGAUAGCUAAUACCGCAUACAUUAAUUAUGCAUGAUAAUUAAUUGAAAGUGCAAUUGCACACUACCAGAUGGACCUGCGUUGUAUUAGCUAGUAGGUGGGUAACGGCUCACCAGGCGACGAUACAUAGCCGACCUGAGAGGGUGAUCGGCCACACCGGGACUGAGACACGGCCCAGACUCCUACGGGAGGCAGCAGUAGGGAAUCUUCGGCAAUGGGGAAAUCUGACCGAGCAACGCCGCGUGAGUGAAGAAGGUUUUCGGAUCGUAAAGCUCUGUUGUAAGAGAAGAACGGGUGUGAGAGUGGA